ACUAUCUAUGGUAAAAUUCAGUUAUUUUUAUGAACAAGCUGAUCUUGUUGAAGAAAAUUUUAAUCACGAAAAGCUAGGCGAGGUUACAAGAAAGCUGCACACUGUUAAGAUGACUAGAAGACGAAGCUGACAACAUUGAAACUGAAUAAGACUAAAAACUGGAGGAGACAAAAACUCAAGAUGCUAUCAAAUCAUCAGCUGCAACACAGCCGACGACCAUCAAGUACAAGCAGAGCAGAUUCUCUCCAAAUCUUCCACACAAACCCAAGAUGAACAACCCUCGAAGCAGAAACCCUACAGGAGGAGACGACCCGAGGUCAAAGUACAGAAAGGGGUGUGUCUUGUUUGAUACAGAGCAGACUGAUGGAACAAGGGGAGGAGCUUCGAUUGGCUGUCACACUAGGGGUAAUCUGGAAAGUGUCAUUGCAAUACUAUACUAGAUUCAGGUUUUAAUGCGAAUGAGCAACUGAGCAGUGAAUGGACUGCAUUAUUGCACGCGUGUGACACAGGUCGUGAGGAGAUGGUGGAGCUGUUGCUGGAGAGAGGGGCUGACCCUAACACUCAUAAAGUAAAUGCACAGAAGGAC